GAUGAACGCUGGCGGCGUGCCUAAUACAUGCAAGUCGAACGAACAGACGAGGAUCUUGCUCCUCUGACGUUAGCGGCGGACGGGUUGUUAACACGUGGAUAACCUACCUAUGAGACUGGGAUAACUUCGGGAAACCGGAGCUAAUUGCGGAUAAUUUAUUGCACCUCAAGGUUCAAUAGUGAAAGUCGGUUUUGCUUUCACUUAUAGAUUGAUCCGCGCCGCAUUAGCUAGUUGGUAAGGUAACGGCUUACCAAGGCUACGAUGCGUAACCGAUCUGAGAGGGUGAUAGGACAAACUGGACAUGAGAGAAGGUCAAGAAUCCUACGGGAGGCAGAAGUCGGGAAUCUUCAGCAAUGGGCGAAAGCCUGAAGGAGCAACGCCGCGUGAGUGAUGAAGGUAUUCGGAUCGUAAAACUCUGUUAUGAGGGAAGAACAAAUGUGUAAGUAACUAUGCACGUCUAGACGGUAACUAAUCAGAAAGCCACGGCUAACCACGUG
rnacentral:rRNA from 1 species